rnacentral:rRNA from 1 species
UACAGAGGUGGCAAGCGUUGUUCGGAAUUACCGGGCGUAAAGGGCGCGUAGGCGGCUUGGUCAGUCCCGUGUGAAAUCCCUCGGCUCAACUGAGGAACUGCACGGGAAACUGCCUGGCUUGAGUUCGGGAGAGGGAAGCGGAAUUCCGGGUGUAGCGGUGAAAUGCGUAGAUAUCCGGAGGAACACCGGUGGCGAAGGCGGCUUCCUGGACCGACACUGACGCUGAGGCGCGAAAGCUAGGGGAGCAAACGGG